GGGCUGCUAGCUCAGAUGGUAGAGCAACGGAUUCUUAACCCGCAGGUCACAGGUUCAAGUCCUGUGCAGCUCAC
rnacentral:tRNA from 1 species